ensembl:lncRNA
AUAUUGAAGUGCUUUAGAUAAGUCCUUGACCAUCUUCUAGUUUGAUCUAAACCUGUCUUCAAUCUUCUUCUUUGUAUGUGAGGGAAAAUGAAGAGAUGUACAAAAAAGGAUUUAAAUAUUUCAACAACAGGAAAAAUUAUUGUUUUUGCCAGUGCUUUCUCUACACCCGAACAGCAUCUGAUUUCUACUGAUUCUUUUCAAUCAGAAAUGUAACUCUUGUUUUCUACAACUUUUCUUCCACGUAACUAGCAAUAAGACUAGAGGGAAUGCCCCAAGUUGCACAAGGGGAGAUUCCCACUGGACUUUGGGAAAUACUCCAAGAGAGUGGCCAGGAAGAAGAAUCUAAUAAAGAAAUUUUGCUCUUUCCCAAACCAAGAAGAGAGAUGUCAGUUCUUCUAUUGAGGUCAGAAACCACAAGCCCCAGAUGAGCUGCCAGAAAAAAAUCCACCAUUUUGCCACAUCUCCAUCAGACAGAGUAAUCUUCACAUUUCUAAACAAGUCUGUGGGAGAGAGCCAGAAAGAAAACUGAAAAUAGAGUGAUGAGAAGGAGAGCGUCCUGGUUUCAGCUGGAAUACAGAAGGAACAGAGAGGAACCCUAUUUGAAGUACAUAUCAUCUGGAUCAAUUGAGAGUGCUGAUGUGUCUCAAGAGAUUGCUAAAAUACCAUAAAAUGAAAGACUGAUAAAGACUGGGAAGGAUAAAAAAGCAUAUAUUAUCUGCUCAGCCAUCAGUGGUCUUUGGGACCUGCUCCACUUUCAGGGACUGUGUCAUUCUUGUGGGGUGCCAUACAACCAUGGAGACAGAGUGGACACUUGAAGAUAUACCAAGACCUCCAUGAAAUUUCAAAGCCAUUAAAGAUGUGUUAGUUAUCAGUAAUAACUUAAAGUGAAACUGGAACAGCUUGCAAGUGCUAAAAGCUUAUUUCCCCUUUUAUCAGUUACCCCAAAGUAUGCCAUUCCCUCUUGUUGUCUGUACAGUGGCUCUUUUCAAGGCAGGAUGGCUAUUCUUCACUCUUAUUAUGGCAUCUGUGAUAUGCAACACUUUAUCCUUCGUAUCCAUAAAAAACAACUUAUAAAUCUUAUUUAUUUUCCUGAAAACUCAAAGCCAUUCUACAUCUUGUUCAAGUACUCAGUGAUAUUAUGCAAUGUUUAUUCAGGAAAGACUACAAUUCUGAUCAACCAAGGUGGCCUGUUUUAAAAUUCAGAAGGUGGGUCCUGUGAAGAAAAUUCAUUUUGUUGACAACAGUCAACAAAUAAAACAUUUCUCAAACGGAUACUUGGUUAACUGACACUAGAGACCCCAGAUUCCCUUCUGCAGACUCAGCCACAGUCCUGCUGCUAAUUGGGAUGUCAGGUUCACACUGGGAACUUGGUUUCGUUGCUCCAAGAUUAGCAGUGCAGAGCUGAAAUACUUGGACUGGAGGGUCACUGUGGGGAGGCAAGGUAAGGUUGAUUCUGGGGGCUUUGCUGAGUCUGUCCUACAGCUGGAGUGACCAGUCUGAGACCUAAUGGCUUCUGGGCUGGGCAGAACAUCAAAGACCUGUGUGCCUAGAAUGAGGGAUUCAGGAAAGUUGUUGCACAGAAGGGAAGGAAUGAUCUUGCCGCACAAGCAUAUUGUCAUGGAUCUGACUAGAGGUGACUCCAGGUUCCAGACCAAUCUGCAGUGUUAUAAAUCCCUGCUACAAAUUACGGAGAUGCACCUCACUUGCCAGAGUACAAUUCACAUGUUAUAAAUCUUCAACCUCACUCAUGUACUCUAAAAGGAGAGUGCAAGAUUUGGGUCAGGAAUAACACUAUGCAAGCUAAGAAAAUCUGCUCCAGGACUGUUUUGCUAAGACAAACGUGAUCCUAUUGUUUCCACUUAUGUUUGUUUUUCAAAAUGGAAUUGAAGUUUAACACUUAAAGUAACGUGAAACUGUCUGUUAAUUUCUGUUUAAUGUUCAAUUUAAACAGUACUAUAAGAAAAAAGAUCCACCUAAAAUGUUUGCAUGCUUUUUUAAUUUUAUUUCCAUCCCAACAUGCUUCAAUAGACGAAAUCUGAAAAUUAUAUUGGCAACAAAGAACUGAGUGAUUUUCUGUCAAAGAAAAUGUUGUGUAAUCUAUAAAAUUAUGCAGUAAUUUUAAUUUCUACAUUAUGGAUUUCAUACUCGAUUGUUACAUAAAAUUUCUGGAUGCUUGUU